CUCUAAUACAUCUACUGGUUGUGUACUUUGCUUUUAACAGUAACAGAAAUCUAGCACGAUGUAAUAACUUCAUGGUUAUCCUUGACAACUAGGCGCUAGGACCGAAAGCUGUAUGUAAGUCACGCUUUUAACGACACUGUUUUCUAUUAUGUUGCUAAUUAUAUGGUGCUCUGAGUAACUUAAAAUUAAUUAUAAGGUGCUCGACCAAGAGCGAGGCAGUGCUAUUGAAACGGCUCAGUAUUCACAGAACAGGCCACCUGCAACAGGAUGAACUGAAAGAUAUAAAUUCGGUUUUUGUGAGAAGAUUAAAAACCUUCAUCCAGUUCUGGGGACAUUUCCUGAAAUCGAGAGAGCUGCUCCUUCCUACCAUACUCACGUCUUCUAAAAGCGGCACCUUCUGAGCUGACUGGAACUCGCCGCUUUGCACAGGAAUCUGCAGGUCACCCUUCGCUUCACGGCGUUCGCCAUGCGUCCGGCCUGGAAACGCCGGAAUGUGUUGCACGGUUCCUGGGAGCCUCUGCUCAGGAUAUCGCUGAUGGGGUGUGAGGGCAGGGAUUCAGUAUCAGCCCAUCUGUCUUCGUGCCAGAAGAGUUUACAAGUCGAUUGUACCUCGGUUGAUAAAAAAAAAAAGAAAUCCUCCAGACAAGAUUUAGUGGGGGGCGCCCUUUCCUCCCGUCGCCCCCCUUCUGCCGGGAGGAUCAGUCAGCGUGUGCUAUUUUUUUUUUUUUAAUCUCCCAGGAAAGUGCCUUCUGUCUCAUGUUAUAACAAGAUGUGACAUCCAGUCCGCUUUAAUCAGUGUUUAGAGUAGCGGUGUGGGUGAGGGCUAGGUGGCUAAGCUUUUAGCUCCCGGAGUCAAAGACCCACAUCUUCAACAGGAGGGACAUGGAGGGGAAGCGGCGCUUCACUGUCAGUGUUAUAUGUAU